rfam:Oryza glumipatula chromosome 11, whole genome shotgun sequence.
AAAGACUCAAUUCUUGGGUUUCCAUCUCCAAUGUUUGACCGUCCGUCUUAUAUAAUUUUUUUUUAUGAUUAGUAUUUUCAUUAUUGUUAGAUGAUAAAACAUGAAUAAUACAUUAUGCAUGAUUUAUCUUUUUAAUUUUUUUUCAUAUUUUUUAAUAUAAGACGGAUGGUCAAACGUUAAACACAGAAACCUAGGAAUUGAGUUUUU